AACGAACGCUGGCGGCGCGCCUAAUACAUGCAAGUCGAGCGAGAAGACGUAGCAAUACGCUUGUAAAGCGGCGAACGGGUGAGGAAUACAUGGGUAACCUACCCUCGAGUGGGGAAUAACUAGCCGAAAGGUUAGCUAAUACCGCGUACGCUCCUUGGACUUCGGUUCAGGGAGGAAAGCGAUACCGUGGGUAUCGCGCUCUUGGAUGGGCUCAUGUCCUAUCAGCUUGUUGGUGAGGUAACGGCUCACCAAGGCUUCGACGGGUAGCUGGUCUGAGAGGACGAUCAGCCACACUGGCACUGCGACACGGGCCAGACUCCUACGGGAGGCAGCAGUAAGGAAUAUUGCGCAAUGGGCGAAAGCCUGACGCAGCGACGCCGCGUGGGGGA
rnacentral:rRNA from 1 species